GCCCGUGCGCGCGACUAGGGGGAGGGAGGAGGCGACAAUCACGUGGGACAGGGGCGUCCGGAGGUGCCGGCUAGGUUGGGCUCCUCUCGGCCGCUGCCCAGCCGCUCGGGCCUCCCCAGCCUCGCUCCCCUCCAGCCCCUGAGAGGCGCUGCCCUGCCCCCGGCGAGGCCAGCCCACGCUCUCGCUCACCCCGCCCGCUCCGCUGAGGACCCGGAGAUCCGAGCUUAACGCCCAGUAAAAAUUUAAGUCCCAUGAAGUCAGGGAUAUUUCCUCUUCUGAUCACUGCUGCAUCCUUGGUGACUAAGACAUGAUCUGACAUAUUGUAAGCAUUCAAGUAAUGGUCUGCUGAUUUAUUGAAUGAAUAAGUCCAAGAACACAAUGGUGUUUGAACCACAGGAUGGCUGGAAGAACCCAGCCAACAACCUUGAACUGAACUGAAUUAGUACCAUGUUCCACAGUGAUUGGUAAUGAUCUGCUCUUCAAACUUGCUUCCUAUGCAUCAUAAAGGGAAAGAACAAUUCCUUUUCCCACCACACACCCACAUCACAGAGGAAUGCUUCGAGAAUUAAUUAAAUGGUAACAUGGAGAAAGCAUUUUGAUUUUCUGGGAGAAAGCACUUUAUUAAUUUGAGGCUUUUGAUUGUGUGAAAGAAUCGUAAGUGACAAAGAUGAGAACAAUGUUAAAAGGGAGUAACCAAACUACCUUGGCUUUUCCCAGGAUAAUUGAUUUAAAGGUGAUAUAAGCAGGAUGAAGAAUGAAAUGUGGUUUUAGAAUUCUUAUCCCAAAUGAUAGAUUUUUUUUAAGCAACACUUUCUUUUUCGAAGUUAACUUUCAAUAAUUCACAGUAUGAUAUGUUCAUUAAUGAAUUAUUCUUCACAUUUACAAUACUUUUGUCCAUUCUGUGUCCAUUUUCCUGCUAUUUAGAACUUCCAUACCAGUGUAAGAGAGCUGGAAAAGAAAAAUAAAAUAAAAACUAAGAUUUGUCCAUCUGCA